rnacentral:lncRNA from 1 species
GGGGGGGUCCACACAAACAAAAAAGAUUUCUGAUAUUAUUUUUUCAUUUCGUCGUUGCUGGGCAAAAAAACAGAGGCGAGAGAGAUUGAAAAAGAGAAGAGAGAGGUAAGAAAGGUGAACUAUAAUUAUAAAAUGUAAUGUGUUUAAAAUAUAACUAUAUAUAAUGCUCUAUAAUAAAUACAUAAUAAUUUUCCCUUCUAGUUUCAUGACCAUAUCUUCCUUGUCCCUCUCCAUAAUUCCCAAUGUCCUAAUUAUUUUUUGUCCAGCCACCAUGACCCACCAGUCCAUCUAUCUAGACAUCCACCUUCUCCGACUUGUUCCAUAUUGGAAGUUAAAGAUAUUUAUCAUCCGAAUAAUUCUCUCCUGUCACAUAUUAAUGGUUUCAUAUUACAUUCUGUAAAUAAUUUACAAAGAGAUAUUACUACAACGAUAUUGAGUGUGACAAUUUACCUUAUUGGCUAUUGCUUGUUACUUCAUCAUAAAGUUUACCAAUUCUACCAAGUGUCACAAUUUUCAUUUAAAAACUUUUAAAAAGUCCAACUGGUAGCAAUUUUCAAUCAUUUAAAUGUUUUAAUUUGGUAAAGAUGUCUGUACACAAACCACGGCACACCAAACUCUCCAACACAAAAGUCAACAAUGGUGUUUUUAUAUUGUUGAUGUCUAUGUAUAUCCACUAUAUAAAAGGAAUUUCUGAUUAGUUCAACGAAUAGUAAUGCUGAAUUUGCCCUAGAAAAAAAUCAUCGGAAAUGGAGGUCAAACGAAGGGCGGUGAAGAAUCUCGUUACCAAGCUGAGUUCUGUAUCGGAGCAAACACGAACAGAAGCAAUUUGUGAGCUGAGAUUGAUUUCGAAGAACGAUCCCGAUAGUAGACCGUUGAUCGCCGACGCCGGUGCGGUUCCGUAUUUAUC